rnacentral:rRNA from 1 species
CUACGGGAGGCAGCAGUAGGGAAUACUGGACAAUGGGCGCAAGCCUGAUCCAGCCAUGCCGCGUGAGUGAAGAAGGCCCUCGGGUUGUAAAGCUCUUUUGUUGGGGAAGAAAAGCAUUCGGCUAAUACCCGGGUGUCCUGACGGUACCCAAAGAAUAAGCACCGGCUAACUUCGUGCCAGCAGCCGCGGUAAUACGAAGGGUGCAAGCGUUACUCGGAAUUACUGGGCGUAAAGCGUGCGUAGGUGGUUCGUUAAGUCUGAUGUGAAAGCCCUGGGCUCAACCUGGGAAUGGCAUUGGAUACUGGCGGGCUAGAGUGCGGUAGAGGGUAGUGGAAUUCCCGGUGUAGCAGUGAAAUGCGUAGAGAUCGGGAGGAACAUCCGUGGCGAAGGCGACUACCUGGACCAGCACUGGCACUGAGGCACGAAAGCGUGGGGAGCAAACAGGAUUAGAAACCCUGGUAGUCC